AAAGUUGUAGUUUUAAUCUGUAAUUUAAACAACAAAAAUUAAAUUUAUUAUUGAAUACUUAUCGCUAUCUAUAAUUGAUUUAAUUUGAGCUGAAAUAUUUCUUAAAUAGUAUUGAAAACUAUUUAUUUAAAAAGUUGUGCGAUUAAACUUAGCAAACAUCUUAACAAAUUCAAAGUCAAUGUCAAAUUACUGUACUAGUAUUUGAAAAAUAGAACAGAUAAUUAUCCUUGAAAAUUUAAAUGAUCAACAGGUAUCAGUGGACAUCCCUAAAGUCUGUUUAUUUGGUUUUAUUGGUGGAUCGAAUUGGAUCGGACUACUGUAUAUAUCAAUUAUUUCCAGUGUGUUUAAUUAAUUACUAUUUUGUUAUCUAUUUUGAAUUGUUCUCUGUAUGGACUUCUUGAAUGCAGCCAUUUAGUCGGCCAGAUUGGCCACAUGGAAACGUUCAGCUUUCCACUCUGGAGGACCCAGGUUCGAGUCUUAGGUCCCAUCCCUUGAAAAUAUUUAUCAUGGGGUCCGGGCCCAGCCCAUCGAUCCCUACCCUCCACAAUCCGGCUGACCCCUCCACACGGGUGGGCAGCCUGAGGAAGGGCUUGUUUCACCCCGCCACUUAGUAUUCUUCGUGAAUGGAAAGUGGCGUCAUCUGUUGACAAAAAAAUGUUCAAGUGGAUUUAAUUCAACUAGCAGUGCAUAUACUGUAUGUAAAUUCCAUAAGAACUUUUAUAAAAAAUAUUAUUAGAUAAACCGUUUCUUGCGUUUAAUUACUGAU
rnacentral:lncRNA from 1 species